rnacentral:sRNA from 1 species
ACUAGGAGCGGCUCUCGGUGCAGCGGGACAGGGCGAAGCGGCCUGCGCCCACGGAGCGCGUGACACUGCCCGGAAGGCACCGCCACCCUUGCCCCCUCAGCUGCCCACUCGUGAUCUUCAGCGGCCUCCGCGCGCGCACGAUGCCCUCGGCCACCAGCCACAGCGGGAGCGGCAGCAAGUCGUCCGGACCGCCACCGCCGUCGGGUUCCUCCGGGAGUGAGGCGGCCGCGGGAGCCGGGGCCGCCGCGCCGGCUUCUCAGCAUCCCGCAACCGGCACCGGCGCUGUCCAGACCGAGGCCAUGAAGCAGAUUCUCGGGGUGAUCGACAAGAAACUUCGGAACCUGGAGAAGAAAAAGAGGCUUGAUGAAUGGAUACCGGGGCCCUGCCAAUGGAUUCAGAGGAGGAUAUGAUGGUUACCGCCCUUCAUUCUCUAACACUCCAAACAGUGGUUAUACACAGUCUCAGUUCAGUGCUCCCCGGGAUUACUCUGGCUAUCAACGGGAUGGAUAUCAGCAGAAUUUCAAGCGAGGCUCUGGGCAGAGUGGACCACGGGGAGCCCCACGAGGUCGUGGAGGGCCCCCAAGACCCAACAGAG